UCGAGGGGCAGCAGUACUUUUCGGAGUAGCUGGCGACCGGCGCACGGGUGCGUAACGCGUAUGCAAUCUACCCACAGCACAGGGAUAGCCCGUGGAAACAUGGAUUAAUACCUGAUAACACAGGGAGCUCACCUGAGCACCUUGUUAAAGUUUUGGCGGCAGUGGAUGAGCAUGCGUCCCAUUAGCUAGUUGGUAAGGUAACAGCUUACCAAGGCGAUGAUGGGUAGGGGUUCUGAGAGGAUGAUCCCCCACACUGGUACUGAGAUACGGACCAGACUCCUACGGGAGGCAGCAGUAGGGAAUAUUGGUCAAUGGACGCAAGUCUGAACCAGCCAUGCCGCGUGCAGGAAGACGGCCUUCUGGGUUGUAAACUGCUUUUUUCAGGGAAGAAAACACUCUUGCGAGAGGGAUUGCCGGUACCUGAGGAAUAAGCACCGGCUAACUCCGUGCCAGCAGCCGCGGUAAUACGGAGGGUGCAAGCGUUGUCCGGAUUUAUUGGGUUUAAAGGGUGCGUAGGCGGCCCGUUAAGUCAGUGGUGAAAGGUAUCAGCUUAACUGAUGAAGUGCCAUUGAAACUAACGGGCUUGAGUACAGACGAGGUAGGCGGAAUUUAU
rnacentral:rRNA from 1 species